GACGAACGCUGGCGGCGUGCUUAACACAUGCAAGUCGAGCGGUAAGGCCCUUUCGGGGGUACACGAGCGGCGAACGGGUGAGUAACACGUGGGUGACCUGCCCUCAGCUCUGGGAUAAGCCCGGGAAACUGGGUCUAAUACCGGAUAUGACUUCAUGACGCAUGUUGUGGAGUGGAAAGCCUUGUGCGGCUGAGGAUGGGCCCGCGGCCUAUCAGCUUGUUGGUGGGGUGAUGGCCUACCAAGGCGACGACGGGUAGCCGGCCUGAGAGGGCGACCGGCCACACUGGGACUGAGAUACGGCCCAGACUCCUACGGGAGGCAGGCAGUGGGGAAUCUUGCGCAAUGGGCGAAAGCCUGACGCAGCGACGCCGCGUGAGGGAUGACGGCCUUCG
rnacentral:rRNA from 1 species